rnacentral:rRNA from 2 species
ACGUAGGGAGCAAGCGUUGUCCGGAUUUACUGGGUGUAAAGGGUGCGUAGGCGGCUUUGCAAGUCAGAUGUGAAAUCUAUGGGCUCAACCCAUAAACUGCAUUUGAAACUGUAGAGCUUGAGUGAAGUAGAGGCAGGCGGAAUUCCCCGUGUAGCGGUGAAAUGCGUAGAGAUGGGGAGGAACACCAGUGGCGAAGGCGGCCUGCUGGGCUUUAACUGACGCUGAGGCACGAAAGCGUGGGUAGCAAACAG